CCCACCGUGGCCCAAGGGUAACGGCGCCGCCCUGAUAUGGCGGAGAUCCAGGCUCGACUCCUGGCGGUGGGA
rnacentral:tRNA from 1 species